rnacentral:rRNA from 1 species
CGGCGGACGGGUGAGUAACACGUGGAUAACCUACCUAUAAGACUGGGAUAACUUCGGGAAACCGGAGCUAAUACCGGAUAAUAUAUUGAACCGCAUGGUUCAAUAGUGAAAGACGGUUUUGCUGUCACUUAUAGAUGGAUCCGCGCCGCAUUAGCUAGUUGGUAAGGUAACGGCUUACCAAGGCAACGACGCGUAGCCGACCUGAGAGGGUGAUCGGCCACACUGGAACUGAGACACGGUCCAG